rnacentral:ribozyme from 1 species
ACCUGGGAAGCCGUCGCCCGAGCAUGUGUGGGCAAGGAGCACUACGCCCAGUUGGUCGAGUGUCUGGGGGACGUCUGGACGCCCCUAUUUGUCGUGGCCGUGCAUCAGGCCGUGCGCUUGGACGUCGCCAAAUGUGCCCAGGCACACCGCGACAAACUCACCGGGUGGGUUCGCGCCGUCACCUCCUCUUCCUCCCCAAGAGACAGCGACCGAACCAUGGGAAGGUGGUGCGUGCACUUGCAGGACCUCCCCCCAUCGUUUGCCCUCACGAAG